GACGAACGCGGCGGCGUGCUUAACACAUGCAAGUCGAGCGAAGAGCGAUGGAAGCUUGCUUCUAUCAAUUUAGUGGCGAACGGGUGAGUAACGCGUAAUCAACCUGCCCUUCAGAGGGGGACAACAGUUGGAAACGACUGCUAAUACCGCAUACGAUCUAAUCUGGCAUCGAGGAUAGAUGAAAGGUGGCCUCUACAUGUAAGCUAUCACUGAAGGAGGGGAUUGCGUCUGAUUAGCUAGUUGGAGGGGUAACGGCCCACCAAGGCGAUGAUCAGUAGCCGGUCUGAGAGGAUGAACGGCCACAUUGGGACUGAGACACGGCCCAGACUCCUACGGGAGGCAGCAGUGGGGAAUCUUCCGCAAUGGACGGAAGUCUGACGGAGCAACGCCGCGUGAGUGAUGACGGCCUUCGGGUUGUAAAGCUCUGUUACUCGGGACGAAAGGCCUUCUUGCGAAUAGUGAGAAGGAUUGACG
rnacentral:rRNA from 1 species